GCUGUAUGAGUCUAAGAUGAGUG
rnacentral:siRNA from 1 species